rnacentral:lncRNA from 1 species
CUCACAGCACCCAAACCAUGUGUGGCCUCUCUUGCCAUUCAUGGUACACGGGAGCGUUCCAAAACAGCCCCAAAUGACAGCUGACGUGCAGAUGGUGGAUUUCGAGUGCCAAGAUACAAGUGUUGCUGUUCCUGUUGUUGUUUUCCCCAUUGUGUAUGCUUUUCAGAUCGUUCCCGGCUGGGUCUAGAGAGAACAGGAAAUGAUAAUAAUCCUGGGACACAGAGUGGUUCAAUCACUUAUUUAAGGACGAACUGAAAGCUCCUGGCUCAUGUCGGAUUCAAACAUGGUCGUGUCAUGUGAGGAGCCACAACCUUCAACACCCCAGGAGCUGUGUCAGAGGAGUUAUUUCUUCAAUACCCAAAGCUGUUUAAGGACUUGGAUGAGCAAUCUUCC